CCCCCGGGGAGCGCAGGAGCGCUGAGAGUGCGGCCGGACGAGAGUCCCACCCGCAGACCCGUGGAACCUGAUCCGGCUCACACCGGCGUAGGGAGCAGGG
rnacentral:ncRNA from 1 species